UACGAAGGGGGCUAGCGUUGUUCGGAUUUACUGGGCGUAAAGGGUGCGUAGGCGGGUCUUUAAGUCAGGGGUGAAAUCCUGGAGCUCAACUCCAGAACUGCCUUUGAUACUGAGGAUCUUGAGUUCGGGAGAGGUGAGUGGAACUGCGAGUGUAGAGGUGAAAUUCGUAGAUAUUCGCAAGAACACCAGAGGCGAAGGCGGCGACCUGGACAGCAACUGACGCUCAGGCACGAAAGCGUGGGGAGCAAACAGG
rnacentral:rRNA from 1 species